GUCGAAUGAAAACGAACAGACAACGGAGAAAAAGUUUUAAGGACGUUGAGCGGUGGUGAAGAAUAUUAGGCAGAAUCAAUUGUAGAAAUAUUAGCUGAAUUUAUCAAGAUAGCGUACUGUCCAUUGAACAGACAGCUUAUGGCCGUAGACGAAAAAUUCUCCAACAACUGGAUCCCAAGGUAUCUGUAAUCUCGAUUAGCAGACAAUAGUUUUAUUACGCGUGAGGACAAUAUGUACGGAUAAAACCAUUUUGGCAGUUCACCGUUCAAGGAAUGAGCUCUGUAACUUGUAGACCGGCUGGACUUCAUCUGAUCAGCUGGUUUCCCAGCAAGACACUCGAUCAUCUGGACUUGAAAGGCGUCACAGAGAUAUGUUACUACUUUAAGUAAAAUUAGUGACUGUGGCACAGUUUUUUGAAUGCUCAGUAAGUCGUUUGAACGCUAUUGGACUGAAAAAACAAUUUACCCCAUGAAUUCAGGCUCUACACUCGGAGGCGAUGAGGCAGUCGAAAGCUGCACCAUGUAACGUAGAAUCUUCAAAGUUACGUUGCGUGUACUCGCUGUAACGUUGGCUACGUCGCUCGCCAGCCGCAUCUCUCCGGCUUCGUGAAAGAGCAACAACCUCGAGGAACAGUCUACCUGUGCCCGGCGUGAACCAGUACCGUUAUCUUUCUCUAACGAGUGCAGUGGAGGCGCGCAGGUCGCAUUAUACGGGGACCCCUGAUUCAGAAGAGAAUUGCGACGAUGCGCCAAUGCUGUGAAAGCAGCGAGAAAUGCACGCGUGCAGUACGCGUGGACGGAUGCGUACGCGCGCGUACAUCGUGCUGCGAGAAAGUGAAUCCCAAAAGAAAACCACGGUACUGAAAUAAAGAGAAUCCGGUAUUAACGGAUAGAAAGAUUUAAUCCAUGAGGGUCCACAGCCGUUCUUAGUCCGACAGCCGGAACACCUUUAUGGCUCAGAUUAGAAACAGAAUAGUGAUCCUGGUAUUCGAGGAUAAUGAUUGAGGCCAAUCCUGUUCCGUGUCAUGAAUCAUCUUCGACCAAGCUCGCGUUCGAAUGGCUUGAUGUAAAAAUUCAUUGGCAGCUGCACAGCUCAGGUGUUUUGUCGGAGAAUAAUUUAUUCGAGAGAUUCGUGAUGUGGAGUGGAGAAAGUCAAGUGCAAACGGUACGCUUACCAGCGAAUUAAACUGAUAAUUACUUACCAUCCGCAACCUGGGCACAAAAAUUAUUAGGCAUGCACACGAUAGAGGUAUAUACGCUGGCUUUAAGGGGGUAUUCUAAUCUAGAGGCCGAAAUUUCGAGCUUGACAAGAAAACAGUACCAUACUCUUACCAUCCAUUUUUGACUGUCUUUUUAUUGUUCUUUCAAUAGCUUGGAGAAAAAAUAAAUAUUUAUGAAAAAAAAAAAAAAAAUUUUUUUAAACUUAUGCGCCUCUGAAUG